rnacentral:rRNA from 1 species
CCUACGGGUGGCAGCAGUGGGGAAUAUUGGACAAUGGGGGGAACCCUGAUCCAGCCAUGCCGCGUGUGUGAAGAAGGCCCUCGGGUUGUAAAGCACUUUCAGUGAGGAAGAACGCCUGGUGGUUAAUACCCAUCAGGAAAGACAUCACUCACAGAAGAAGCACCGGCUAACUCCGUGCCAGCAGCCGCGGUAAUACGGAGGGUGCGAGCGUUAAUCGGAAUUACUGGGCGUAAAGCGCGCGUAGGUGGCUUGAUAAGCCGGUUGUGAAAGCCCCGGGCUCAACCUGGGAACGGCAUCCGGAACUGUCAAGCUAGAGUGCAGGAGAGGGAGGUAGAAUUCCCGGUGUAGCGGUGAAAUGCGUAGAGAUCGGGAGGAAUACCAGUGGCGAAGGCGGCCUUCUGGACUGACACUGACACUGAGGUGCGAAAGCGUGGGUAGCAAACAGGAUUAGAUACCCCAGUAGUC